AUUGAACGCUGGCGGCAUGCCUUACACAUGCAAGUCGAACGGUAACGCGGGGCAACCUGGCGACGAGUGGCGAACGGGUGAGUAAUAUAUCGGAACGUGCCCAGUAGUGGGGGAUAGCCCGGCGAAAGCCGGAUUAAUACCGCAUACGACCUAUGGGUGAAAGCGGGGGAUCGCAAGACCUCGCGCUAUUGGAGCGGCCGAUAUCAGAUUAGGUAGUUGGUGGGGUAAAAGCCUACCAAGCCGACGAUCUGUAGCUGGUCUGAGAGGACGACCAGCCACACUGGGACUGAGACACGGCCCAGACUCCUACGGGAGGCAGCAGUGGGGAAUUUUGGACAAUGGGCGCAAGCCUGAUCCAGCCAUGCCGCGUGCGGGAAGAAGGCCUUCGGGUUGUAAACCGCUUUUGUCAGGGAAGAAAUCCUCUGGGUUAAUACCUCGGGGGGAUGACGGUACCUGAAGAAUAAGCACCGGCUAACUACGUGCCAGCCGCCGCGGUAA
rnacentral:rRNA from 1 species